CCUACGGGGGGCUGCAGUGAGGAAUAUUGGUCAAUGGACGAGAGUCUGAACCAGCCAAGUAGCGUGAAGGAUGACUGCCCUAUGGGUUGUAAACUUCUUUUAUAAAGGAAUAAAACGAGGCACGUGUGCCUUUUUGCAUGUACUUUAUGAAUAAGGAUCGGCUAACUCCGUGCCAGCAGCCGCGGUAAUACGGAGGAUCCGAGCGUUAUCCGGAUUUAUUGGGUUUAAAGGGAGCGUAGAUGGGUUGUUAAGUCAGUUGUGAAAGUUUGCGGCUCAACCGUAAAAUUGCAAUUGAUACUGGCAGUCGUGAGUACAGUUGAGGUAGGCGGAAUUCGUGGUGUAGCGGUGAAAUGCUUAGAUAUCACGAAGAACCCCGAUUGCGAAGGCAGCUUACUAAACUGUGACUGACAUUGAUGCUCGAAAGUGUGGGUAUCAAACAGGAUUAGAUACCCUAGUAGUC
rnacentral:rRNA from 1 species